rnacentral:rRNA from 1 species
UGGGGGCAACCCUGAUCCAGCCAUACCGCGUGUGUGAAGAAGGCCUUCGGGUUGUAAAGCACUUUCAGUGGGGAGGAAAAGUUGCCGGCGAAUACCCGGCGACCGUGACGCUACCUGCAGAAGAAGCACCGGCAAACUCCGUGCCAGCAGCCGCGGUAAUACGGAGGGUGCGAGCGUUAAUCGGAAUUACUGGGCGUAAAGCGCGCGUAGGCGGUUUGGUAAGCUGGAUGUGAAAGCCCUGGGCUCAACCUGGGAACUGCGUCCAGAACUGCCAAGCUAGAGUAUGGUAGAGGGCAGUGGAAUCUCCGGUGUAGCGGUGAAAUGCGUAGAGAUCGGAAGGAACACCAGUGGCGAAGGCGACUGCCUGGACCCAAUACUGCCCCUGAGGUGUGAAAGCGUGGGGAGCAAACAGGAUAGAUACCCUGGUAGUACCACGCCGUAAACGAUGUCAACUAGCCGUUGGGCUCCUUGAGGGUCUAGUGGCGCAGCUAACGCGAUAAGUUGACCGCCUGGGGAGUACGGCCGCAAGGUUAAAACUCAAAUGAAUUGACGGGGGCCCGCACAAGCGGUGGAGCAUGUGGUUUAAUUCGAUGCAACGCGAAGAACCUUACCAGGCCUUGACAUCCCCGGAACUUGGCAGAGAUGCCUUGGUGCCUUCGGGAACCGGGUGACAGGUGCUGCAUGGCUGUCGUCAGCUCGUGUCGUGAGAUGUUGGGUUAAGUCCCGUAACGAGCGCAACCCUUGUCCUUAGUUGCCAGCGCGUAAUGGCGGGAACUCUAAGGAGACUGCCGGUGACAAACCGGAGGAAGGUGGGGAUGACGUCAAGUCAUCAUGGCCCUUACGGCCUGGGCUACACACGUGCUACAAUGGCCGGUACAGAGGGUUGCCAACCCGCGAGGGGGAGCUAAUCCCAGAAAACCGGUCGUAGUCCGGAUCGGAGUCUGCAACUCGACUCCGUGAAGUCGGAAUCGCUAGUAAUCGCGAAUCAGAAUGUCGCGGUGAAUACGUUCCCGGGCCUUGUACACACCGCCCGUCACACCAUGGGAGUGGGUUGCAAAAGAAGUGGGUAGUCUAACCUUCGGGGGGGCGCUCACCACUUUGUGAUUCAUGACUGGGGUGAAGUCGUAACAAGGUAACCGUA